UACAGAGGGUGCAAGCGUUAAUCGGAAUUACUGGGCGUAAAGCGCACGCAGGCGGUUGGUUAAGUCAGAUGUGAAAUCCCCGGGCUCAACCUGGGAAUUGCAUUUGAAACUGGGGAACUAGAGUGUGUGAGAGGGGGGUAGAAUUCCAAGUGUAGCGGUGAAAUGCGUAGAGAUUUGGAGGAAUACCAGUGGCGAAGGCGGCCCCCUGGCCCGAUAUUGACGCUGAGGUGCGAAAGCGUGGGGAGCAAACAGG
rnacentral:rRNA from 1 species